rnacentral:rRNA from 1 species
UACAGAGGUCUCAAGCGUUGUUCGGAUUCAUUGGGCGUAAAGGGUGCGUAGGUGGCGCUGUAAGUCGGGUGUGAAAUUUCGGAGCUUAACUCCGAAACUGCAUUCGAUACUGCGGUGCUUGAGGACUGGAGAGGAGACUGGAAUUCAUGGUGUAGCAGUGAAAUGCGUAGAGAUCAGGAAGAACACCAGUGGCGAAGGCGCUCUGCUAGGCCGUAACUGACACUGAGGGACGAAAGCUAGGGGAGCGAAUGGG